rnacentral:rRNA from 1 species
UACGGAGGAUCCAAGCGUUAUCCGGAAUCAUUGGGUUUAAAGGGUCCGUAGGCGGUUUAAUAAGUCAGUGGUGAAAGCCCAUCGCUCAACGAUGGAACGGCCAUUGAUACUGUUAGACUUGAAUUAUUAGGAAGUAACUAGAAUAUGUAGUGUAGCGGUGAAAUGCUUAGAUAUUACAUGGAAUACCAAUUGCGAAGGCAGGUUACUACUAAUAUAUUGACGCUGAGGGACGAAAGCGUGGGGAGCGAAUGGG